rnacentral:rRNA from 1 species
GACGAACGCUGGCGGCGUGCUUAACACAUGCAAGUCGAACGGAAAGGCCCUGCUUGCAGGGUGCUCGAGUGGCGAACGGGUGAGUAACACGUGGGUGAUCUGCCCCUUACUUUGGGAUAAGCCUGGGAAACUGGGUCUAAUACUGGAUAGGACCAUGCUGUAGGUGGUGUGGUGGAAGGAUUAGUUUCGGUAAGGGAUGAGCUCGCGGCCUAUCAGCUUGUUGGUGGGGUAAUGGCCUACCAAGGCGUCGACGGGUAGCCGGCCUGAGAGGGUGGACGGCCACAUUGGGACUGAGAUACGGCCCAGACUCCUACGGGAGGCAGCAGUGGGGAAUAUUGCACAAUGGGCGCAAGCCUGAUGCAGCGACGCCGCGUGGGGGAUGACGGCCUUCGGGUUGUAAACUCCUUUCAGCCAUGACGAAGCCCUUGUGGUGACGGUAGUGGUAGAAGAAGCACCGGCUAACUACGU